rnacentral:misc_RNA from 1 species
ACCACCAGGAAUACAUACGUUUAGGAUCUGCUUGCGACACAGCUGCCAUGGCUCAAUCCAAUAACACUACCACUUUCUAAUUCUGAUCAUAAGAAACUAAUAUCCUCCGAAUGAUUAAGGAUGAUCCAACAAAGAACCAGAUGUAUUCGACCAAAAUCCAAUCAAUUAAAACACGCGAUGGCUAGUAUAAAACUUUUCGUGUCUCACUCCUUGUAUCUGAUGAGCAUAUUUGUGCAUAAAAAAGUAACCACUAUCUUCAGAAUUUGGGAAAGAAACAAGAAGUUCUUUAUUCUUUGAGUAGCUGCAUGUUUUGAUGUUCCUUGGCAAGUCUAAUCCAUGUCCGUUACAUCUCUAAUCGUCUCUCUGAAACUCGCUUCUUCUUCUCUCU